GACGAACGCUGGCGGCGUGCUUAACACAUGCAAGUCGAACGGAAAGGCCCCCACUUUUUUGGUGGGGGUGCUCGAGUGGCGAACGGGUGAGUAACACGUGGGUGAUCUGCCCUGUACUUCGGGAUAAGCUUGGGAAACUGGGUCUAAUACCGGAUAGGACCAUGGUUUAGUGUCUCAUGGUGGAAAAAUUAUUGUUUUGGUGCAGGAUGAGCUCGCGGCCUAUCAGCUUGUUGGUGGGGUAAUGGCCUACCAAGGCGUCGACGGGAAGCCGGCCUGAGAGGGUGGACGGCCACAUUGGGACUGAGAUACGGCCCAGACUCCUACGGGAGGCAGCAGUGGGGAAUAUUGCACAAUGGGCGCAAGCCUGAUGCAGCGACGCCGCGUGGGGGAUGACGGCCUUCGGGUUGUAAACUCCUUUCGUUAGGGACGAAGCCGCACCUUUUUUGGGUGUGGUGACGGUACCUUUGUUAAGAAGCACCGGCUAACUACGUG
rnacentral:rRNA from 1 species